AGUGAACGCUGGCGGCGUGCCUAAUACAUGCAAGUCGAACGGAGAUUAAGUAGCUUGCUAUUUAAUCUUAGUGGCGCACGGGUGAGUAAUAUAUAGCUAACUUGCCCAUUACUAAGGGACAACAGUUGGAAACGACUGCUAAUACCUUAUACUCCGUAUCUAUAUAAGUAGAUACGGGAAAGUUUUUCGGUAAUGGAUAGGGCUAUAUCGUAUCAGCUAGUUGGUAGGGUAAUGGCUUACCAAGGCUAUGACGCGUAACUGGUCUGAGAGGAUGAUCAGUCAAACUGGAACUGAGACCCGGUCCAGACUCCUACGGGAGGCAGCAGUAGGGAAUAUUGCUCAAUGGGGGAAACCCUGAAGCAGCAACGCCGCGUGGAGGAUGACACUUUUCGGAGCGUAAACUCCUUUUCUUGGGAAAGAAUUAUGACGGUACCCAAGGAAUAAGCACCGGCUAACUCCGUG
rnacentral:rRNA from 1 species